GCUCUUUGGUGAUUCACGAUAACUUAACGGAUCGCAUGGCCUUGCGCCGGCGACGGUUCAUUCAAAUUUCUGCCCUAUCAACUUUCGAUGGUAAGGUAUUGGCUUACCAUGGUUUCAACGGGUAACGGGGAAUUAGGGUUCGAUUCCGGAGAGGGAGCCUGAGAAACGGCUACCACAUCCAAGGAAGGCAGCAGGCGCGCAAAUUACCCAAUCCCGACACGGGGAGGUAGUGACAAUAAAUACUGAUACAGGGCUCUUUUGGGUCUUGUAAUCGGAAUGAGUACAAUUUAAACCCCUUAACGAGGAACAAUUGGAGGGCAAGUCUGGUGCCAGCAGCCGCGGUAAUUCCAGCUCCAAUAGCGUAUAUUAAAGUUGUUGCAGUUAAAAAGCUCGUAGUUGAACCUUGGGCCUGGCUGGCCGGUCCGCCUCACCGCGUGUACUGGUCCGGCCGGGCCUUUCCUUCUGGAGAGCCCCAUGCCCUUCACUGGGCGUGCGGGGGAACCAGGACUUUUACUUUGAAAAAAUUAGAGUGUUCAAAGCAGGCCUUUGCUCGAAUACGUUAGCAUGGAAUAAUAGAAUAGGACGUGCGGUCCUAUUUUGUUGGUUUCUAGGACCGCCGUAAUGAUUAAUAGGGAUAGUCGGGGGCAUCAGUAUUCAAUUGUCAGAGGUGAAAUUCUUGGAUUUAUUGAAGACUAACUACUGCGAAAGCAUUUGCCAAGGAUGUUUUCAUUAAUCAGUGAACGAAAGUUAGGGGAUCGAAGACGAUCAAAUACCGUCGUAGUCUUAACCGUAAACUAUGCCGACUAGGGAUCGGGCGAUGUUUCUAUCUUGACUCGCUCGGCACCUUACGAGAAAUCAAAGUUUUUGGGUUCUGGGGGGA
rnacentral:rRNA from 1 species